rnacentral:tRNA from 1 species
GCCAGUGUGGUGUAGUGGUUAAGAACAGUGGACUGGUAAUCUGGUGACCCGGGUUCGAUUCCCUGCUCCUCCACAUGCA